AGAGUUUGAUCAUGGCUCAGGAUGAACGCUAGCGACAGGCCUAACACAUGCAAGUCGAGGGGCAUCGGGACGUAGCAAUACGUUGCCGGCGACCGGCGGAUGGGUGAGUAACGCGUAUGCAACCUACCCGUAGCAGGGGGAUAGCCCGUUGAAAGACGGAUUAAUACCCCGUAACACAGGGGCUCCGCAUGGAGAUUAUUGUUAAAGGGUCAUUUCUUUUUCAGGGAUGGUCCGGCUGCGGAUAGGCAUGCGUUCCAUUAGGUAGUUGGUGUAGGUAACUGCUCACCAAGCCGACGAUGGAUAGGGGAACUGAGAGGUUGGUCCCCCACACUGGUACUGAGACACGGACCAGACUCCUACGGGAGGCAGCAGUGAGGAAUUUUGGUCAAUGGACGCAAGUCUGAACCAGCCAUGUCGCGUGAAGGAGGACGGCCCUAAGGGUUGUAAACUUCUUUUGCAGUGGAAUAAAGUUUGCCACGUGUUGGCGAUUUGCAAGUACGCUGCGAAUAAGGAUCGGCUAACUCCGUGCCAGCAGCCGCGGUAAUACGGAGGAUCCAGGCGUUAUCCGGAUUUAUUGGGUUUAAAGGGUGCGCAGGCGGGGAAUUAGGUCGGCGGUGAAAUUUCGGGGCUCAACCUCGACAGUGCCGUUGAAACCGUUUCUCUUGAGUGCGGAUGAGGUAGGCGGAAUUUGUGGUGUAGCGGUGAAAUGCGUAGAUAUCACAAGGAACACCGAUUGCGGAGGCAGCUUACUAAACCGUUACUGACGCUCAUGCACGAAGGCGUGGGGAUCAAACAGGAUUAGAUACCCUGGUAGUCCACGCAGUAAACGAUGAUUACUUGCUGUUUGCGAUACACAGUAAGCGGCGAAGCGAAAGCGUUAAGUAAUCCACCUGGGGAGUACGUUCGCAAGAAUGAAACUCAAAGGAAUUGACGGGGCCCGCACAAGCGGAGGACAUGUGGNUUAAUUCGAUGAUACGCGAGGAACCUUACCCGGGCUUGAAAUGCAUUCGACGGGGUUGGAAACAGCCUUU
rnacentral:rRNA from 1 species